GACGAACGCUGGCGGCGUGCCUAAUACAUGCAAGUAGAACGCACAGUUUAUACCGUAGCUUGCUACACCAUAGACUGUGAGUUGCGAACGGGUGAGUAACGCGUAGGUAACCUGCCUGGUAGCGGGGGAUAACUAUUGGAAACGAUAGCUAAUACCGCAUAAUAUUGAUUAUUGCAUGAUAAUUAAUUGAAAGGUGCAAUUGCACCACUACCAGAUGGACCUGCGUUGUAUUAGCUAGUAGGUGAGGUAACGGCUCACCUAGGCGACGAUACAUAGCCGACCUGAGAGGGUGAUCGGCCACACUGGGACUGAGACACGGCCCAGACUCCUACGGGAGGCAGCAGUAGGGAAUCUUCGGCAAUAGACGAAAGUCUGACCGAGCAACGCCGCGUGAGUGAAGAAGGUGUUCGGAUCGUAAAGCUCUGUUGUAAGAGAAGAACGGGUGUGAGAGUGGAAAGUUCACACUGUGACGGUAUCUUACCAGAAAGGGACGGCUAACUACGUG
rnacentral:rRNA from 1 species